GACGAACGCUGGCGGCGUACCUAACACAUGCAAGUCGAGCGGAAAUAAUUGAAAGCUUGCUUUUGGUUAUUUUAGCGGCGGACGGGUGAGUAACGCGUGGGCAACCUGCCUGUUACAGGGGGAUAACACAGGGAAACUUGUGCUAAUACCGCAUAACACAGCGAGGUAGCAUUACCUUGUUGUCAAAGGAGAAAUCCGGUGACAGAUGGGCCCGCGUCCAAUUAGCUAGUUGGUGAUGUAACGGACCACCAAGGCGACGAUUGGUAGCCGAACUGAGAGGUUGAUCGGCCACAUUGGGACUGAAACACGGCCCAGACUCCUACGGGAGGCAGCAGUAGGGAAUCUUCGGCAAUGGACGAAAGUCUGACCGAGCAACGCCGCGUGAGUGAAGAAGGUUUUCGGAUCGUAAAACUCUGUUGUUAGAGAAGAACAAGGAUGAGAGUAAAAUGUUCAUCCCUUGACGGUAUCUAACCAGAAAGCCACGGCUA
rnacentral:rRNA from 1 species